rnacentral:tRNA from 1 species
GCUUCUCUGGCGUAACGGUAGCGCAGCUGAUUUGUAAUCAGCAGGUUGUCGGUUCUAUGUCUGCUUGCAGACAUUUCCGACAGGGAAGCU